rnacentral:rRNA from 1 species
GAGUAAUGCUUGGGAACAUGCCUUGAGGUGGGGGACAACAGUUGGAAACGACUGCUAAUACCGCAUAAUGUCUACGGACCAAAGGGGGCUUCGGCUCUCGCCUUUAGAUUGGCCCAAGUGGGAUUAGCUAGUUGGUGAGGUAAUGGCUCACCAAGGCAACGAUCCCUAGCUGGUUUGAGAGGAUGAUCAGCCACACUGGGACUGAGACACGGCCCAGACUCCUACGGGAGGCAGCAGUGGGGAAUAUUGCACAAUGGGCGCAAGCCUGAUGCAGCCAUGCCGCGUGUGUGAAGAAGGCCUUCGGGUUGUAAAGCACUUUCAGUCAGGAGGAAAGGUUAGUAGUUAAUACCUGCUAGCUGUGACGUUACUGACAGAAGAAGCACCGGCUAACUCCGUGCCAGCAGCCGCGGUAAUACGGAGGGUGCGAGCGUUAAUCGGAAUUACUGGGCGUAAAGCGUACGCAGGCGGUUUGUUAAGCGAGAUGUGAAAGCCCCGGGCUCAACCUGGGAACUGCAUUUCGAACUGGCAAACUAGAGUGUGAUAGAGGGUGGUAGAAUUUCAGGUGUAGCGGUGAAAUGCGUAGAGAUCUGAAGGAAUACCGAUGGCGAAGGCAGCCACCUGGGUCAACACUGACGCUCAUGUAC